rnacentral:rRNA from 1 species
CCUACGGGAGGCAGCAGUGAGGAAUAUUGGUCAAUGGACGAGAGUCUGAACCAGCCAAGUAGCGUGAAGGAUGACUGCCCUAUGGGUUGUAAACUUCUUUUGUCAAGGGACAAAAUCAGGCUCGAGAGCCUGACCGAGGGUACUUGAAGAAAAAGCAUCGGCUAACUCCGUGCCAGCAGCCGCGGUAAUACGGAGGAUGCGAGCGUUAUCCGGAUUUAUUGGGUUUAAAGGGUGCGUAGGCGGACUGUUAAGUCAGCGGUAAAAGCCCGGGGCUCAACCCCGGCGAGCCGUUGAAACUGGCUGUCUUGAGAUGUCGAGAGGUAUGCGGAAUGCGCAGUGUAGCGGUGAAAUGCUUAGAUAUUGCGCAGAACUCCGAUUGCGAAGGCAGCAUACCGGCGGCGAUCUGACGCUGAGGCACGAAAGCGUGGGUAUCGAACAGGAUUAGAUACCCCUGGUAGUC